ACAUGCCAGGAACUUGCCAGAGAUGGCUUGGUGCCCGAAAGGGAGCCUGGACACAGGUGCUGCAUGGCUGUCGUCAGCUCGUGUCGUGAGAUGUUGGGUUAAGUCCCGCAACGAGCGCAACCCUUGUCAUUAGUUGCCAUCAUUCAGUUGGGCACUCUAAUGAGACUGCCGGUGACAAACCGGAGGAAGGUGGGGAUGACGUCAAGUCCUCAUGGCCCUUAUGGGUAGGGCUACACACGUCAUACAAUGGCCGGUACAGAGGGUAGCCAACCCGCGGGGGGGAGCCAAUCCCACAAAGCCGGUCGUAGUCCGGAUCGCAGUCUGCAACUCGACUGCGUGAAGUCGGAAUCGCUAGUAAUCGCGGAUCAGCAUGUCGCGGUGAAUACGUUCCCGGGUCUU
rnacentral:rRNA from 1 species